GUUAAUAAUACUUAAGUAGCCACUCGUGCAUUAGGUUAGGUUAACCGAAUUCCGGUUGUUUUUACGCCUCGAGUAGACACGAAAUACUUCUUGAACUUGAAAUUGUUCCGUCACGUAGUAUAUAAACACGUUCUAAAUAUCAAGAGAUAACGAGGUUAUGUCGUCGUAGAUUUUCACGAGAUUUGUCUAUCGUUUGCGGUUGACGAUCUGCACAGCCUACGUGCUUGAUUCCACGUAUGUAUUGUUAAUUACCGAUGACACAAAACAUCCUCUGGAAUGCUUAUGAUACACGAAUUUCUCGGAUGUGUUUAUCACUUAGUAACUUUUUUUAAAUGCAAAAAUAGAAAUAGAACAUGUUUUAAAUAUCAUCGAAGCGUCAUAUAUCGCGCACUCUUGCGGUCAGUAAACAAGUCUACCUCGGUAACAGUGUGUACCGUACUCGUGACAGUUUCUUUUUCCCGAAUGUGACUUCUGUCGUGUGUACUUUUGCUCGAAGGGAAACGACGCGCCGGUAUGAAACAGCUAUGUGUUUCACGAAAUGUAAAUAUUUACGCCUCUAGCCCUUGGGUAUAUUACGACGAAAUUCUACAGAGGACGGUUGGGCUUCUUUUUGCGUCGCGAACUGUUAAAGGAAGUGUAUACGACGACAGGGAUCCAUGAAAAAUUGAUGGUGGUCGCGGUUUUGAAUUCAAAGCAUCGUUCCAUAGUCAUCUCUCGCCGUUAAAGACACGUCGAGCCAUUUGACGAGAUUUAUUUGGAAUCGAAGCACUAUUCUGGACUCCGAGGAGCGGCGAUGACGUCGCGACGAGUAUCCUGGCGGUUGGGACACCUGCGGUCGCCCCCUUUAAAAAUGAUUAACCUGCCGAAAAGGGAAACGUUCGCCAGCCCGGGCCCGUGCUGACGCCGAUGAAAAAUGGAUCUCGGCUGGCUUUCAGGAUGGCACAAAGACGUCGUUAACUCUUCCUACCGUCCGCUUACUCGAGCCUGAUUUUUAAUGAUUCUUCCCCUGUUCCCUCCUUGCGAACCUCGAGGGCACCCUUCCG